rnacentral:rRNA from 1 species
GUGCUUAACACAUGCAAGUCGAACGAUGAACCAGGAGCUUGCUCUUGGGGAUUAGUGGCGAACGGGUGAGUAACACGUGAGUAACCUGCCCUUGACUCUGGGAUAAGCGUUGGAAACGACGUCUAAUACCGGAUACGAGCUUCCACCGCAUGGUGAGUUGCUGGAAAGAAUUUUGGUCAAGGAUGGACUCGCGGCCUAUCAGCUUGUUGGUGAGGUAACGGCUCACCAAGGCGACGACGGGUAGCCGGCCUGAGAGGGUGACCGGCCACACUGGGACUGAGACACGGCCCAGACUCCUACGGGAGGCAGCAGUGGGGAAUAUUGCACAAUGGGCGAAAGCCUGAUGCAGCAACGCCGCGUGAGGGACGACGGCCUUCGGGUUGUAAACCUCUUUUAGCAGGGAAGAAGCGAAAGUGACGGUACCUGCAGAAAAAGCACCGGCUAACUACGUGCCAGCAGCCGCGGUAAUACGUAGGGUGCAAGCGUUGUCCGGAAUUAUUGGGCGUAAAGAGCUCGUAGGCGGUUUGUCGCGUCUGCUGUGAAAUCCCGAGGCUCAACCUCGGGUCUGCAGUGGGUACGGGCAGACUAGAGUGCGGUAGGGGAGAUUGGAAUUCCUGGUGUAGCGGUGGAAUGCGCAGAUAUCAGGAGGAACACCGAUGGCGAAGGCAGAUCUCUGGGCCGCUACUGACGCUGAGGAGCGAAAGGGUGGGGAGCAAACAGGCUUAGAUACCCUGGUAGUCCACCCCGUAAACGUUGGGCGCUAGAUGUGGGGACCAUUCCACGGUUUCCGUGUCGUAGCUAACGCAUUAAGCGCCCCGCCUGGGGAGUAC